rnacentral:tRNA from 1 species
GCGCCGGUGGUCUAAUGGCUAUGAUUUUGGCCUUCCAAGCCGACGAUCUGGGUUCAAAUCCCGGCCGGCGCA